CCUACGGGUGGCAGCAGUCGGGAAUAUUGCGCAAUGGAGGAAACUCUGACGCAGUGACGCCGCGUAUAGGAAGAAGGUUCUCUGAUUGUAAACUCUUGUUGUUAGGGAAGAUAAAAGCCUGUAUCUCAGGCUGAAGCCCCGGCUAACUAUGUGACAUCAGCUGCGGUAAUACAUAGGGGGCAAGCGUUAUCCGGAAUUAUUGGGUGUAAAGGGUGCGUAGAGGGAAGAACAAGGUGGUAGUGAAAUCACUCGGCUCAACUGAGGAACUGCAACCAAAACUAUUCUCCUUGAGUGUCGGAGAGGAAAGUGGAAUGCCUGGUGUAGCGGUGAAAUGCGUAGAUAUUAGGAAGAACACCAGUGGCGAAGGCGACAUUCUGGACGAUAACUGACGUUGAGGCACGAAAGUGUGGGGAGCAAACAGGAUUAGAUACCCUUGUAGUC
rnacentral:rRNA from 1 species